GAAGUUUAAGUUAAUAAUAAACUGAAGGCCUUCAAAGCCCUAAAUAGGGGUUAACCUCUAGCUUCUG
rnacentral:tRNA from 1 species